GAGGCUGCGCUUGUUGAGCCUGGAUGAUAUGGAGCGGCUGGCGACCCGCAUGCUUCACCCUGAGGCUGUGGAGUGCAUGGAGCUGUCCUUCCUAGACUGAGGAAUACUGCUGCUGCCCUCUCCACCCCUCCCCUCUCUUCUCCCCUCUCCCCUCUCCCCUCUAUCCUCUCCUCUUUACUCUCUCCUCCCCCUCUCCUUACUUUGUUUAAAAGAAUAGAAGCACACCCAGUGAGCAAGGCAUUGAGCAGCCCCACAUCCCGCUUCACAAUACCGCUACAUAUUGACUGACUGUUCGCAUUGUGUGUGUUUGGUAAGACAAACCACAUUUUCUACUUUCUACGAUUGGGCAAGUCAGCGGUUGUUUGAUAACAGAACAUAAAACAUCAGAGCGGGUCGAACUGCGAUGCUGCAAAUCAAGGCCCUUUAAAAUGUGUACCUUCCCAGCUUAGGUAUUGCUGAAGAGACACUUCCUACAGGAGGACAGGACGUUGUCAAGGAGGGGAUGUCGUGUCCUGAGGGCUUUCUUAAAAACAUUGUUUUAUUAUUUCUAACCGUAUGUUGUUCUUGCCUUUUAGCUCUUGAGCAUAAUAAUCUCAAUCCCGUUUGAAAUUACACUAAAUGCAUUUGCAUGGUGCAGAUGAGGGAUGUCACUUCACUCGAGGCGUGCGUACUGAUGAAGAUGUAGUUUCAGUGUUUAAUGCUCAUCCCCUCACUGUGUGUCUGUGUGUGUUCUUGUCUCUCGCCUGUCCUGUGAGGAUGAAGAUGUAGUUUCAGUGUUUAAUGCUCAUCCCCUCACUGUGUGUCUGUGUGUGUUCUUGUCUCUCGCCUGUCCUGUGAGGAUGAAGAUGUAGUUUCAGUGUUUAAUGCUCAUCCCCUCACUGUGUGUCUGUGUGUGUUCUUGUCUCUCGCCUGUCCUGUGAGGAUGAAGAUGUAGUUUCAGUGUUUAAUGCUCAUCCCCUCACUGUGUGUCUGUGUGUGUUCUUGUCUCUCGCCUGUCCUGUGAGGAUGAAGAUGUAGUUUCAGUGUUUAAUGCUCAUCCCCUCACUGUGUGUCUGUGUGUGUUCUUGUCUCUCGCCUGUCCUGUGAGGAUGAAGAUGUAGUUUCAGUGUUUAAUGCUCAUCCCCUCACUGUGUGUCUGUGUGUGUUCUUGUCUCUCGCCUGUCCUGUGAGGAUGAAGAUGUAGUUUCAGUGUUUAAUGCUCAUCCCCUCACUGUGUGUCUGUGUGUGUUCUUGUCUCUUGACAGGUCUGUGAGGAUGAGAAGGUCUCCACAGUCUGGAGUCUGGUCUCUGACAGGCUCAACAUACCUGUCAAUCAACAGGGACUCCUCUACAAAGGCAAGGCGCUGGCAGAUGAGCACAGACUGUCACACGACUCCAUCACUCCCGAUUCCAAGCUGAACUUGUUGUGACGCCCCCAACAGAGAAAGUAUCACCCGAGCAAGAACAGCACUCCCUGUGUCACCCCUCCUCUCAGACCUCACCCCUCACCCUCGCCUCACCCCUCCUGUCACACCUCACCCCUCGCCACACCCCUCCUCUCACCCCUCGCCUCAACCCUCCUCUCACUCCUCGCCUCACCCCGGGUCAGUGUGGCACAGCCUGCCUGCUCUUCUGAACAAACACUUCAGUCCUGCCGACGCAGUGAGAGUCUGGAGCAGCAACACAAGGAUUACGAGCGGAGGCUGCGCUUGUUGAGCCUGGAUGAUAUGGAGCGGCUGGCGACUCGCAUGCUUCACCCUGAGGCUGUGGAGAGCUGUCCUUCCUAGACUGAGGAAUACUGCUGCUGCCCUCUCCACCCCUCCCCUCUCUCCUCCCCUCCCCCUCUCCUCUCCUUACUUUGUUUAAAAGAAUAGAAGCACACCCAGUGAGCAAGGCAUUGAGCAACCCCACAUCCCGCUUCACAAUACCGCUACAUAUUGACUGACUGUUCGCAUUGUGUGUGUUUGGUAAGACAAACCACAUUUUCUACUUUCUGCUAUUUUAAAAGGAGCCCAGUUUGUUGCAGGAGGCUUGUGGGUAACAGUGUGUGUUUUUGCUGGGGACUGCAGCCCUUCCAUUACCAUUGCUCAUAGAGGGGAGAUUGUUUUACUUUCAAGCCUUUUUCUUUAAUAAAUCCGGACGUUUGGAAAUACAUACUGUGUGGACAUUUCCCUUCUUCAUGGCUCCAUGCAGCAUCCUGUCACACAACAAGCCCUGAAAGGGGAUCUAUACAUAUUUAUUCUCAAUCACCAGGCAGUAAUCGCAGCUACAAUACAGACACACAACGUGUCACUUUUAUUGGCUGAAACUUUAAACUACGACUAGAAGCCUCUGAA